rnacentral:rRNA from 1 species
UACGUAGGCAGCAAGCGUUGUUCGGAGUUACUGGGCGUAAAGGGUGCGUAGGUGGCGGGGUAAGUCAGGUGUGAAAUCUCGGGGCUCAACCCCGAAACUGCACUUGAUACUGCCUUGCUCGAGUACUGGAGAGGAGAUUGGAAUUUACGGUGUAGCAGUGAAAUGCGUAGAUAUCGUAAGGAAGACCAGUGGCGAAGGCGAAUCUCUGGACAGUUACUGACACUGAGGCACGAAGGCCAGGGGAGCAAACGGG